GUCCGAUCAGUAAUGCAGUCAAAAAGAGAAAAUUGUAGGAAAUAUACUCAGCUUUUAAAACAUAUUUUUGGCCAAAAUUAAUUUUGCUCAAAACUAAUUCGAAAGCUCAAGAACCACUGCACCGCCACAAACUUCGUUCCUUCGUGCAACUGCAGAGCCCGGCUCAAAGGUGGACGCACCAACUACUGACGAUACACUCUAUAGUGCUAAAGGAUUAACCACAUUGACCGACAAGCUGAUGGUUUGAUAAUGGUUUUUUGGAUUCUACCAAAAUCAGUGUCCGUCUCUCUGCUGCAAUACGACUCCAAUUAUUUUCGGUGGAACUGUGCAAUUGACGACGAAAUAGAGAGUGAGGUAUACCAAUAGCAGCAGCUUAGUGUGCUUGAUUGAACGACUGUGAAAAUCAACAAGAGUUGCUGGUUUUCCUGGUGAACUGUGAAAAGGUAUAGCACAACGCCACCUGAAGGAGCGAGCCCGUAGAUAAUGGAUUGUUUAGAGAAAUUGAGAUGAUACAGUUGAUGGGUCAUGGAUGAUUGUUGACUGAAGCACUAGUAGGGGGAGAGGGGGUAAUAUGCACCCCCGGGGCAAAAUGCACCCCCUGAUUUUCUCGGUUUUUGGAAGAAUUUUCCGGGGAAAAAAUCAUAGAAAUUGGAAGCUUAACAUUGCUAAACCAUGCUGGAAAAAUUUUA